CUCAGUGUGUAAACAUAGAUCCUCUGACAGUGCAGAACGUGCACUUCUUAGAACUUCGCUGUCUGGAGGAGUCAUGCUCACUAGUAAGAGGCCGCUGAGGCUGGACGGAGGGCACUUGGGCGGCAAUUCCACAACUCCCAGGUCCUGACGUUAAAGGAGCUUUGGCCAAUGCUCACGCGGGAGCUCUCUGGCUGAGAAGACAAGCUCCGUGACCUCAGGACCCAAAGCGGUCUGCGACUACGGCAGGAGGAGGCUGUGGACACAUUCGGCCGAAUAGAAGCGUCUAACGCCAGCUACCUAGGUUAUGAUGAACGGUGCCCUGAUGCCCCUCCUGUCUCCGGGAUUAUCCGCAAAGUGGGUUUAAGACCGGAUGCCUGCGCGGGGGACUUUAUCCGCGGAAUGGAGACAGCAGGUUCUGUCCAGCCUGCCUGCUACAGCUGCGGCUCUCAGCACACCCGACGGUCCCCAACCUGCUCUGGCUCCGCCUUGUGCUUUCACGCGUGCCCUCCUUCGGCGCCCGUCCCGCCACCCAGCCACACACCUGCAGUCCCCGGCGGGCGCCCGGCGCCGAGCCCCUCUCCAGCGGCGACUCCCGGCAAUUCACGACUCAAGGUCCGGAACCUGCGGAGCAUCUGAGGAACAACCCCCGGCUCGGAGCCCGCCUGCCCUCGGGAGGUACAGGCCCUGCCGGUGUUUCUUGGUCGCCGAAGGACGCCAGCGCAGAGCCGGCCGACACCCCAGAAACAACAUGUCAGGCCUUGUUACACCGAGAGUUGCAGUGACUCCUCAGGGAAUCUCAGAAGACACUGCACUUCCCAGUGCCUCCAUUUCCACUUUUACAAAGUGAGAAUAAAAGGGUUUGCUACAGCUGAGGCAGCCCCUGCAAUGAAAAACUAGCACUUUUGUUCUAGGGUUGAGAAAGGGCAAGUCUGAAAUCUCCACUUCCACUAUUGAACCGGACUCUGUCACAAUAUCUGUUUCAGGCAUCCAAAGCCCGCCACGGGUUUAUACGUUGUUGGUGAAAAGCCGCAGCCCUACCUGAGGCUUUGAGAGUUGCCAACGCCAAUGACUUUUCUUUUCCUGAGUUCCUAAAUACCAAGAAAAAGCAACUUCCUCAAAUGGACAGAAACAGAAAGUACCCUUGGGUGGGGGCACAGAACUAGUUCCUCCCUGUAGUUAGAGAUGGGAAGGGGCUCGGCACCCUUCUCCAUCCACCAUCCCCACCACACACACCACUGUGUUACAUCCAGGGAAUUGUUAACCCUAGGCGGCAGCUGUGGAAGGGCCCUCCUAACACCCCACAACUGGAUGAGUGGACAUGAUCUCUGGUUUGUCUUCCCAGGCCCUACUUUCUCCACUGCAAAAAAAAAAAAAAAAAAAAAAAAAAAAAGAUGGCAUUUGGAGAAAGAGAAGGAGAUGGAAGGUGGAAGCAUGCCAGAGGUGGCCAGGGUAGGAAGGAAAGGGUAGAACUGUUCUAGAAUUGGCAAUCGAGUAGCAAGAAUGACUCAAUGUCUGGCAGCUUGAGAUGUUGGAUUUUGAAGGAUAAAGAAACUGCUGGAGAAAUUUGGGAAGCUUGACUUCUUCCUAUGGUUGGUGUUCCAAAAACUGAAGAUGGAAGAAAGCGGAAACAGAGUUGCUCACUCUGGGAAGCUGAGCAUCUGGCAAAGCCAACUCUGUCCCAUCCUGCAUCCGGACAUGGGCACUCUUCUCCACCAGCAGGUAGCACCCAGAUGUGAACUUGCAUGUUAUUCCUCUUCCUACAUUGAGCUCUUCCUGUGUCUCCCUGUCCUCACAGCCCAGGCAAAUCUCAAGAGCACCCGGCAUCCAUCUAUUGGCCAGAACCUAGAAUGACUGCCACCGAGAAACUUCCCAAAGUCCUUCCCAAAGAACUCAAGGUUGUCUCUGUCACUCAUCAGGCAUCUAGUUGCGUACCACUUUAUGUAGUUUUUUGUUUUGUUUUGUUUUCCAGUGCUGGAGAUUGAACCCAGGGCUUUCACACUGAGCCACAUCCUAGCCCUUUUUUCACUUUUUAUUUUGAGUCUUUUGCUAAGUCUCUAAGUUACCCAGGCUGGGCUUGAACUUGCAAUCUUUCUGCCUCAGCCUCUCAGGAGGCUGGGGUUACAAGCAAGUAUACCACGCCUUGCUCUUCUAUUGCUUCAUUUAAAAUGUCUAUUUGCAAUAGGUCUCCUCCUUUUCAUGGCCUAAUGUUUUCAGAGAGGAGUCUGCUUUGUCUCUACUUCCUCAUCUUACAUUUAUUCCUCAAUGCUCUGAAAGAAGGUCACCAAGGAAACCCCAAAUGCCAAAUCCAUUGUUCUUGUUUUCUUACCUCACUACAGUACUUGAUAUUAUCUUUCCUUCAAAAUUCCCCCUUUGGCUUCUGAAUUUCCUCUACCUCUAACCACUAUUUCUGUUUGCUUUUUCUGGUCUCAUUUCCUUCAUCAUCUCUUGAAGACCGGAAUGAUGUAGGUUUUAUGUGAGGCUGGUUCUCUUUUUCACAGGCAAUUUCAUCCAUUCCCUUCACACUGAUCCCUCUCAAACCUACAGCCCAGACUUCCCUCUUGAGGAAGGAAUCUCAAGCCAAAGACAUCUUAUGACCUGAUUACUUCUUGGUAGGCCCCACCUCUUAAAGGUCCCACCAUCUCUUCACAGUCUCACAUUGGAGAAAAAGCUUGCAAAAUGUGAACCCUUGAGGGACAGACCACACCCAAACUAUAACAGAUGUUUACUUAGAAGUUGCAUAUUCUGCACUUUGUCAAUUAUAUCUCAGUACACAUAAUAUGUGAGAAAAGGAAGUCUGCAUUGAGCCUUCAUACCUCCUACCCUUCCUCACUCCAAUGCCCUAAGCUUAGGUUGCCUCUCCUUGAAUAUUUACUUGACUGAUGAUUCCUUACUGUAUAUUCAUGAUGGUCAGCAGAAUCACCUCAACUGCUAUUCUUGGGAAAAUAUAGAUUCCUUCUGGCGAGGAUGGGCAAACAGAAAAACUAAAGAUGCAAAAGCAAAAAGAU
rnacentral:lncRNA from 1 species